GCCCCGGUGGGUCAGUGGAAGAGCUGCCCACUGAUUGGGUGAAGGUCGUGGGUUUGAGUCCCACCCGGGGGA
rfam:Globodera pallida, Lindley, WGS project CBXT01000000 data, contig: pathogens_Gpal_scaffold_5686_contig_1